GCUCACUGAGGCCAGCAGGCUUGCUGCCCGUGUGUGGCUGCCCAGGGGGAGUGCAGGGGACAUUCGUGGUGUGCAGCCCAGCAGCUGAGCCGGGUCAAGGGCUUAUUAAAUGGAGCUUAUUAAAGGAAAGCUUGUGGACAGUGGCUUGGGAACAACAUGGGGCAGAGUCCCUGGUUUUGCCCAAACUCACCAGUUCUUCUGGAACUGCCUCGGAACGACAAGCAUGGGGCUAAGAUGUGGAUGAGACUCGGGCUACUUGGGUGUGGCCUGAGCCACCUGCAGGGUCUUCUGCCCCGCUUUACCUGAGUGUGUGCUUCUGCAGAGCUGUGUAUGAGCUGGUUCCGUCAGAAAGUGAUGGAAUGGAAGGGAACCUUCCUGCAAAUCCUCCUGUAAGGUGGAGAAGCCCCUUGGAUCACACUUCCACGCAGACCUGAGCAGGACACACUGUGGUUUCCUAAGCCCCCGCCCCGUCAGUUGAGCCCGAUGGCCUUCCUGCUGAUCUGUAAGCAGGCUGAGCAACGCUUGUUCCGCCUGGUGGAGAGUUCGUUCUUCUUGGGCCCGGGGAGCUGCAUGUCAGGGUGUUGCUGCUUCGCUCAAGGGUCACUUAUCACGGAGGCCUCUGUGGUCACCCUACAGAGCACUGACCCUCUCCACUGCUACCUCUGUCUCCCCGACUCACCCUCAUCCUCCAUACAACAGAUUGCAUCUGAAAUAAUAUGCAUUCGUUAUUGCCUGUC